UACGGGGGGGCAAGCGUUGUUCGGAAUUACUGGGCGUAAAGGGCUUGUAGGCGGCCAACUAAGUCCGACGUGAAAUCCCCAGGCUUAACCUGGGAACUGCGUCGGAUACUGGAUGGCUUGAAUUCGGGAGAGGGAUGCAGAAUUCCAGGUGUAGCGGUGAAAUGCGUAGAUAUCUGGAGGAACACCGGUGGCGAAGGCGGCGUUCUGGACUGCAACUGACACUGAAAAACGAAAGCCAGGGGAGCAAACGGG
rnacentral:rRNA from 1 species